AUUGAACGCUGGCGGCAUGCUUUACACAUGCAAGUCGAACGGCAGCACAGCAGAGGUAACUCUGUGGGUGGCGAGUGGCGAACGGGUGAGUAAUACAUCGGAACGUACCCUGUUGUGGGGGAUAACUACGCGAAAGCGUAGCUAAUACCGCAUACGCCCUGAGGGGGAAAGCGGGGGACCCUAAAUAGAGCGCACUGGGGAGUGCGUUGUAUUUAGGGCCUCGCGCAAUAGGAGCGGCCGAUGUCGGAUUAGCUAGUUGGUGAGGUAAAGGCUUACCAAGGCGACGAUCCGUAGCUGGUCUGAGAGGAUGAUCAGCCAGACUGGGACUGCGAACGGCCCAGACUCCUACGGGAGGCAGCAGUUAGGAAUUUUGGGCAAUGGGCGAAAGCCUGACCCAGCAACGCCGCGUGGGUGAUGAAGGCCCUCGGGUCGUAAAGCCCUUUUCCAGGGGAAGAUAGUGACGGUACCCUGGGAAUCAGCCCCGGCUAACUACGUGCCAGCAGCC
rnacentral:rRNA from 1 species